GGCUGCGGGAGGGACUGUCUCUGACCUGGCUUCUGAACCCGCGGGAUGGAGCUGGGUUUCCCGCUGAGCGACCUGACAGGUGGACGAUCUCCUGCCUUGGACAUGUCUGUAGGACUCCACUCCUUCUAGGGCGGGGAACAGAAAGGCGGAGAUCAUGGCUGCUGUGAUUUCUUCAGCUGGAUCUCUGAGUCCUGAAGUUUCCCAGCCAGGUGAAGAUCAUCUUCAGGCAGAAGAACC